rnacentral:snoRNA from 1 species
GGGCACGAUUCGUUGUCCCGCUCUGUGUUGUCGGACUCGGGAUAUUUCUGUUGUGCUAAAACAAGCUGGAGGUAAAUUAGCAGCGUGGCGUCGUGGUGCCUCUCUGCCAGUCCCCUUCACACACUG